rnacentral:rRNA from 1 species
AACAAACGCUGGCGGCGUGCCUAAUACAUGCAAGUCGAACGGGGAAAGCUUUCGGGUGAGUACUAGUGGCGCACGGGUGAGGAACGCGUGGAUAAUCUGCCUUAGAGUGGGGGAUAACUAGUCGAAAGAUUAGCUAAUACCGCAUAAGACCACGAGAGCUGCGGCUUUUGGGGUCAAAGGUUUUUCGCUCUAAGAUGAGUCCGCGUAAGAUUAGCUAGUUGGUGAGGUAACGGCUCACCAAGGCGACGAUCUUUAACUGGUCUGAGAGGAUGAUCAGUCACACUGGAACUGAGACACGGUCCAGACUCCUACGGGAGGCAGCAGUAGGGAAUAUUGCACAAUGGAGGAAACUCUGAUGCAGCGACGCCGCGUGAGUGAUGAAGGCCUUCGGGUCGUAAAGCUCUGUCGCAGGGGAAUAACACAAUGAAGGUACCCUGUAAGAAAGGAUCGGCUAACUUCGUG